rnacentral:rRNA from 1 species
UACAGAGGUCUCAAGCGUUGUUCGGAUUCAUUGGGCGUAAAGGGUGCGUAGGCGGCGCGGUAAGUCGGGUGUGAAAUCUCGGAGCUUAACUCCGAAACUGCAUUCGAUACUGCCGUGCUUGAGGACGGGAGAGGAGACUGGAAUUUACGGUGUAGCGGUGAAAUGCGUAGAGAUCAUGAGGAAGACCAGUGGCGAAGGCGGGUCUCUGGACAGUUCCUGACACUGAGACACGAAGGCCAGGGGAGCAAACGGG